AAUAAAAUUAACGCAUUGGAGAAACUUUGAAUUGUUCUAAAUUUAGAACGGAAGGUACUUCGACUAAAAAUUCAGAAAAAAGCCUGACGGUAUGGACUGCUGUUAGCGUUAUCUCUUGGCAACGUGCGAUCAUGACUCGUUCCACUUUAACGUUGAAAGAUCCACCGUUGUCAGCAGGAUGCUUCAAAGCGUUUGAACCGUUCGCCGGGGAUGGACAGAAUAUAUUUUGCGGACGUCCGGCUAAAGGGCUGCGUUAUCGUGGCGAGUUGGCUAAAAACGAGUAAUUAAAAGUGAUAACGCUUUGUGCAGACCGUGCUCGAAACAUGGUGCACUUUUUUUUACUAGUACGGGGAAUUAACCCGGUGAGACGUUAAUGCGAGAGCAACUGUGAAAGCUGAACGGCGGAGGUUUACGCGCUUAACAUGACACGGGAAAAAAACGGGAACGUCUGAAAUUUUAGUAAAUUAACGAAGUCGACGUUGUGACGUUGAACGCUUGAAUUAGAAAAGUCGGUACAGAUGAGCGCGCAAGACGCGGUAAAAAUAAUCGGAUUACGGCUAGGGUUUUAGAAAUAUCGGUAGUAAUGAUGUUAAAUGCUACCACGAUAAUUAUGUAUGUGACAUGAUUGAAUGAUGAUUUAUGUAUCUUGUGACUUGCAGCACGUAAGUUUAUGCACAAUUGUCCGGAAUGAUGGCGAAAGUAAUGCGCAUUGGUAAAACUUACGUCUAGUUCAGGUUGAAAUGUGUUAUCAAUAGUGCUCUCAAAAGGUUUCAACCAUCGCUUGUUUCUUAUUAAAAAGUUAUUAACAUUGUAGCAUAGGUAGCCUGAAUGAUGUCCAUGAUAACAUAUUUUCUAUCUAAACUCCUCUACUAUACGGAGUAUAUCGCUCCGGCGACGUCAAAGGGAGCGAAGAACGGAAAAAGAAUGAAAGCGGAUGAGAGGUCGAGCUUAUCUGGAAAACGGUGAAAAUUGCUACUGCCCUCUCUCCUCUCCAUUUGUGUAACGGCAUUGAACGUCACCGAGGAAAAAUGCCGGAGGUCAUGGACGCGGAAAAAGAGACGCUAAACAGAAUAAGGGGAACCGAAAGGAGCGGAAGAGGAAGACGGUCGAAGGAUGGUAUUCCUGCUUCGCGCUGCGCGGAGGAUACGUGUUGUAAUCGCGUUGCUUCUUCAAUUCCGUUGUGCAUUGCAGACGAGUAUUCGAUUAACGAGAGAGAAGCUGCAAGCACCGCGGGAGUGAGGUGGCCUCGCGUCUGAUCGACGAUUGCUUCCAUUGUCAACGAUGGACCGUCAACAGCAUCUUCAAGAAAAGUAGAGCUUCGAAGCUAUUUCACUACAAUUAAGUUUUGUAAAGAUUGCAUUUAUGCUUUAUGUAUACUUUUUUUUUAAAUGAAUUUUGAAUGGUUCAUCAGUUGUGGCGGCAUGAGAGUCAUCUAUUUACCUAGAUAGUACCUAAUUCUAUUAUAAUAGAGUGUAUGGAGUGAGAAUGGCCUGCGGAUAAUUAAUUUUGUAUUUAGCUUGUAUUUUGUUGUGAAAAGUGUUUAUUGACAUCGAUUUUACGAAGUAUUUAUAUCCAAUAAACUUUCAGGUAACGUUAGUAGGAUAAAACUUUGGCUACAUUGCAUGUUUUAACGUAACAAAUAUUUAAUGACCGUGUAAUAUCAUUAGAGACCUUUUAGUAUUUUUAAUGCAAGGGUCAUAUUGCAUCGAACCAUAAUGUACGCCACUUUGAUUUAAUUUUCAGUGGGACGUUUUAUUUACAGAUUAUGUUAUUAAGAUAUUUUUUAAAUUAUUAUCAUAUAACCGAAUUUCUUAUACUUUAUUCUUACUGUGCAAUGGAAAAUUACUCGAGAGAGAAAGAAAAAUCUUUGUUUGGAAAAGCAAUUCUUUAUUUUCAUUGGCCAUACCGUCACAUUAGCUAAAGAUUCAUUCACUCUUGAAAGCACGCAGCUCGGCAGAAUCGAAUGGACGCGCAUAGAAGGAUCGGAGAUCGAGUGAAUUAAUUCUCCUUAGAAAGGCCUUUCGCUCUUCGUUCUUUUCUUCUUUCCAUUCUCUUCUUUUGGCUCGUUUUUUCCCGCAUAAUACCAUCAAAGGUAAUUAAGGGAAACCGAGAUGAUUUACGUUUUCUCCGAGCCGACUCCUUCGGGAUAUUUUUAAAUUCAAGCGGCUCGGCGGUUCUUCUUCUAGUAAGGAUUUCAAGAAUCUCCCGUUAAAAUCUCAAGACGAUUCGAGAUCUCCCUGAACGCGAUUUUUGCUCAUUUAGUGAACCUUAAAUGUCCAUUUUAUGAUAUAAUUGUAAUUACUCUUUGUCAUCCUUUUGCAUAACUGAGAUUUCACGUUCAAAUCGAGUUAGAAUCGAUCUCUACUUAAAAAAUCCGUGACUUGUUUAGAUAAAAAUCGUAUUUAAGCGGUAGAUGCGAAUACUGAUAGAAUAGUCCAACUGAUACCGCUUUGACUUGCAAACACAGCUGUAAGGAUAAUCUGCGAUCAGAUGGUUCCAAACUACGAUAAAGGAAGGGUACAGUGGUCCAGACAUCAGAGGUUGUAACGCAAAAUAACGGAUCACCCGUAAAUCUGUCCCAGAUACGAUCUCUGGUUUGCCGGAUGAAGGAGCGAGAGACGCGCGAAGAUAGUGGCCUAGUCACCUAUCUGUCCGUCCUGGCAUGAUAGUGUGAUCUCGUGUCAGUGUUCGCAACAGGUGGACGUCUCGUCUCGUCUGCCAUCGCGCUUACCAGUGCCGCGGCACCGUUGUGGCUCGUUCGCGGACGAUUAUGUGAUUUCAUGAAUUGCGAACGUGCCGAUGUGUCCCUCCGGAGAAUAACCUACCCCGUUGAGUAAUAAUGUAACGCGAGGCCGUCUGUUCAAUUAUCUCCGCCACUUACGUUCGCCUCCGAGCAGCCAGGCAUUUUGGAAAAUUAAACUUUGAUGCCUUUGUAAAGGAUGACCAAAAUGACCAAACUCUGAGUGGCUUCGGCGCCUAAAAUAUUGUUUAAAAUACUAUUCAAAAUAUUGAGAUUCGCAGAUGUUAAAUUAUCAGAACUUUUGUUAGAACUAUUCCGCGAAGCAUCCAAAGGUCAUUUCCAUUUUUCAUGUUUUCUUCGGUAGCUGGUAAAUUAUGUUAAGUCAAUAUCAAUCUCAGAAGUUGCUUUAAUUGACUUGCAACACUUUUGGUUGAAAUAGAUAUGAAAAUGUUAUUUUAAGUUGUUAGUACUCUACUGCAGAAGAUCGAUGAAUUCGCCAUUCUGAUUGUUCCUAAAGCACAAACGCUUUUGAGUAGGAUUGUUAGGCAACACUAUUCAACAAGCGAACAAGAUGGACGUGGGAAUCGAUAUUCAUCAAUAGCAAUGAGUAUUGGUAUUCACACGAUACUACGCUUACAUAUAUGUAUAUCAUUGUCCUAUAGCCAACACGCAUAUGCCUGCGUCAUGCAACUAAUGUACUGGUAAGUCUGACCAUUCGUGAUCAUCAAUUGAAUCGUGGUGUGGCGAAACGUAAUUAUUCGUAAAAUUUCUGUACACGGUUGUAUGAAAUUGAGAACCGGAAAAAAAGACUGGGUCGGCUUAAUUCAUAUGCUGCGAGAACAUGAGACGAGCAGUUGAAGUAAAGCUAAGAAAUAAGCACAUAGCGUGGAAAGAGGCAGUACAAAUAAUUUGUCACACGGUAAUUUCGUGUAGAAUUCUUAAUAACAGCUUGUGGUAGAAGUGCAGCAACAACUUUAAUUUGGAAAAUACAGUCGAGCAAUUAACUUAAGAGCACUCAGGUGCAGCUGCGAAUAACGUACAGAGUUUCUCUCCAGUUCCUGUAACGGAUCACAAGCAACCAAAUAUUACCCGGUUCAUCCAAUUUAUAAAUGGACAGUGUAAAAAGAUUAUUGGAAGUCGGUCUGUAUGUUAAAGUGUCAGACACGUUGUAUCAAUUAUUUGUAUUUUACGAUAAGUAGCAUUCGCUGUGACAAAAAUAUUUCGCAAAUAAUUAUAGAAACGUAUGUAAUCUAAGAAAUUUUUAGCCGAGAUAGACGUGAAAAUAUUUGCUUUUUAUAUUAUGAUCCAUGUUUAGUGUACAUACACCAUGUCUUAACAAGUUUUGAAAUCACUGUCAAUCUUUUAUGAAGUUCUUGAUCGAUCAAUUUCAAAAAACCUACAACUACUUCAAGACUUUAAACCGAUUUAACUUUUUAUAUCCGGAACUUAUACUGUAAGUGUAAGCUCGAAACUCUCGCGGAAGUCGCAAAUCGAUACGACGUCCAACUAAAUUGUUCAAAAAAUUACAACCUGUGUUAUAAUGUAACGAACAAAUUUUUAUUUUCGGUAUAUAAAACUUCAUUUGAUAGAUUAAAUUAGAAUUAAAGAAUAAUAAUUUAUGACAUUCUCCCAAUAACUUUCACGCUAGAAGAGAUUAGGGCAAAACCGAGUGUUUUAGGUAAGACCGGGUAUACUUGCAUUUCUAUUAUUGGGGCAGCUACCUCUGUGAAAAUGGUGUCCUUAUUUGCGAAAUGCUAUUGUUUAUAUGUAUAUAAAUUUAAAUAUACUUUUAGCCGGCGUAACGACAAGAUAUUGUUCGUGUCUUUACAUCAAAUCGAGAUGUUGCAUUUAUCGCAGAAUUUUCGAAGUAUCGAUGUUUAUAAUACCGAAUCGAUACAAACGACGAAAAUGUUAGAUUAUUUACCCUCAUCGAGAAAAAUUUCGAAUUCGCCGACAAUCGUUUAAACGACAAAAAGUGUAGUUUCUCGAAACUCUGAUCGAGCAAGGGACCCGUUUGUAAAGUGAGUAAGCUUUGAGCAUGGAAGUCGAUCGUUUCCCUAAUCGUAGUUACAAAAAGGACUCUUCUGUCGCUUCUCUUUAUGAGCUUUUUUUACUGCUUGUUUUCGCAUGAAAGGGGACCGAUAUCGAGGAACCAUUUGUAACGCGCAUCAAAUAUUGAUCUGCUCCAGUGUGGGGGUUGAAUUUCGGUUUCUAGCACACGCGAACGGUGUUGCGAUAGGGUGGGUGCAUAUUGUCGGAACAUUAUGGCAUGACUUAAUCUACAAAUGUUUAUUCCUUUUUUCUCUCGUCGCAAUGUGAAAUUUGCGUUAAAUUACAGAACGUUUUAUAUUAGGUAUACAUAGUUAUACACAUGACACGUAUAGUAUAUUCUUAGGGAACAUUAAUAUGAGAACCCACACGUUAACUAAGUUAGUGGUAAAAUAGUUGAAUAAACGUAUUAGUGUCUUUUAUCUCCUUUGUUUAAUUCGAGUAAAAAAAGUUUGGAUAUUUCAUGGCGGAGGUUUGGUUUAAGAUACGAAGGUAUUCUUUACACUUUGAAGAAUGGACAAAAUGAAUCACUUGGAACUAUCAAGCUCAAUUUACAUUCGAUAUUAUUACCUCUCGUGAAAAAUGGAUCGUAUGAAAGAUGCAUGCUUUUAACAACAGUGAACAAAGAUUCUGUCUGUCUAAAAAGAAAACUUUUCAAAUAAAACGUUGUUGGUUU